rnacentral:rRNA from 1 species
GACGAACCGUACGAACGUUAUUCGGAAUCACUGGGCUUAAAGGGUGCGUAGGCUGCGCGGAAAGUUGGGUGUAAAAUCCCUCGGCUCAACCGAGGAACUGCGCCCAAAACUGCCGUGCUCGAGGGAGACAGAGGUGAGCGGAACUUAGGGUGGAGCGGUGAAAUGCGUUGAUAUCCUAAGGAACACCGGUGGCGAAAGCGGCUCACUGGGUCUCUUCUGACGCUGAGGCACGAAAGCUAGGGUAGCGAACGGG